rnacentral:rRNA from 1 species
AUCUAUACUGUGAAACUGCGAAUGGCUCAUUAAAUCAGUUAUCGUUUAUUUGAUAGUACCUUACUACUUGGAUAACCGUGGUAAUUCUAGAGCUAAUACAUGCUAAAAACCCCGACUUUUGGAGGGGUGUAUUUAUUAGAUAAAAAACCAAUGCCCUUCGGGGCUCCUUGGUGAUUCAUAAUAACUUAACGAAUCGCAUGGCCUUGUGCCGGCGAUGGUUCAUUCAAAUUUCUGCCCUAUCAACUUUCGAUGGUUAGGUCUUGGCUAACCAUGGUUUCAACGGGUAACGGGGAAUUAGGGUUCUAUUCCGGAGAGUGAGCCUGAGAAACGGCUAACACAUCCAAGGAAGGCAGCAGGCGCGCAAAUUACCCAAUCCCGACACGGGGAGGUAGUGACAAUAAAUACUGAUCCAGGGCUCUUUUGGGUCUUGGAAUUGGAAUGAGUACAAUUUAAAUCCCUUAACGAGGAACAAUUGGAGGGCAAGUCUGGUGCCAGCAGCCGCGGUAAUUCCAGCUCCAAUAGCGUAUAUUAAAGUUGUUGCAGUUAAAAAGCUCGUAGUUGAACCUUGGGCCUGGCUGGCCGGUCCGCCUCACCGCGUGUACUGGUCCGGCCGGGCCUUUCCUUCUGGGGAAUCGCAUGCCCUUCACUGGGUGUGUCGAGGAUCCAGGACUUUUACUUUGAAAAAAUUAGAGUGUUCAAAGCAGGCCUAUGCUCGAAUACAUUAGCAUGGAAUAAUAGAAUAGGACGUGUGGUUCUAUUUUGUUGGUUUCUAGGACCGCCGUAAUGAUUAAUAGGGAUAGUCGGGGGCAUCAGUAUUCAAUUGUCAGAGGUGAAAUUCUUGGAUUAAUUGAAGACUAACUACUGCGAAAGCAUUUGCCAAGGAUGUUUUCAUUAAUCAGUGAACGAAAGUUAGGGGAUCGAAGACGAUCAGAUACCGUCGUAGUCUUAACCAUAAACUAUGCCGACUAGGGAUCGGGCGAUGUUACUUUUUUGACUCGCUCGGCACCUUACGAGAAAUCAAAGUC